AUAUAUAUAUAUAUAUAUAUAUAUAUAUUCUUAAUAAAUUUCUUCAUUAUUAAAAUAAAGGGGAAUUGUGGUUUUACAUAAAUUCAAGGUGAUAGAAUCUUUGCAUUAUUCUUAUUAUAUGAGUCUUUCUUGAUAUAUACCACCAGAUAAAGCAUUCAAUAAUCAAGAAAGUUUCAGUUCUGUCUUCCAAUGCUCAUAAUGCUUUAACUUUGAAAAUUUUAUUGCUGAGAUUCUUGAGGACUUACAAGGACUUUCAUUAUAUUGGAAAUGGAAAAAAUGAAUGCAGAUGUGCGCAGAGAAUGGGGCAGGACCAACAAGGGAUGAGUUGGAUUUCGAGUUCUUGGGGAAUAGAACUAGACAGCUCUAUUUGAUACAGACAAAUGUAUACAAACAUGGGACUGCCGGGCGUGAGAUGAGGCACACGCUUUUGCUCAAUCCUAAUAGAGUUCCUAUAAGAGUGCACAAGAACAAUGGAUAGACGAACAAUUUCUUCCUCCGAGAAGCCCAUGUACCUAUUCUCAAGCAAUGGGAAUCCAUAAGUGGGUACAAGAGAUGAGCAAGCGAAAACAUACUGUAAAAAUCAAAAUUUCUUGCAUUAAUAAUAUUUUUUGAUGAUGGAAUUUUA